rnacentral:rRNA from 1 species
GACGAACGCUGGCGGCGUGCCUAAUACAUGCAAGUUGAGCGCUGAAGGUUGGUACUUGUACCAACUGGAUGAGCAGCGAACGGGUGAGUAACGCGUGGGGAAUCUGCCUUUGAGCGGGGGACAACAUUUGGAAACGAAUGCUAAUACCGCAUAAAAACUUUAAACACAAGUUUUAAGUUUGAAAGAUGCAAUUGCAUCACUCAAAGAUGAUCCCGCGUUGUAUUAGCUAGUUGGUGAGGUAAAGGCUCACCAAGGCGAUGAUACAUAGCCGACCUGAGAGGGGGAUCGGCCACAUUGGGACUGAGACACGGCCCAAACUCCUACGGGAGGCAGCAGUAGGGAAUCCUCGGCGAAGGAGGAAAGUCUGACCGAGCAAAGCCGCGUGGGUGAAGAAGGUUUUCGGAUCGUAAAACUCUGUUGGUAGAGAAGAACGUUGGUGAGAGUGGAAAGCUCAUCAAGUGACGGUAACUACCCAGAAAGGGACGGCUAACUACGUG